GCGCGAAACCUCCGCAAUGUGAGAAAUCGCGACGGGGGGACCCCAAGUGCCAUUCUUAACGGGAUGGCUUUUCUUAAGUGUAAAAAGCUUUUGGAAUAAGAGCUGGGCAAGACCGGUGCCAGCCGCCGCGGUAACACCGGCAGCUCUAGUGGUAGCCAUUUUUAUUGGGCCUAAAGCGUUCGUAGCCGGUUUAAUAAGUCUCUGGUGAAAUCCCGUAGCUUAACGAUGGGAAUUGCUGGAGAUACUAUUAGACUUGAGGUCGGGAGAGGUUAGAGGUACUCCCAGGGUAGGGGUGAAAUCCUGUAAUCCUGGGAGGACCACCUGUGGCGAAGGCGGUCUAACUGGAACGAACCUGACGGUGAGGGACGAAAGCUAGGGGCGCGAACCGGAUUAGAUACC
rnacentral:rRNA from 1 species